UACGGGGGGAGCAAGCGUUGUUCGGAUUUACUGGGCGUAAAGGGCGCGUAGGCGGCCAGCACAAGUCAGUUGUGAAAUCUCCGGGCUUAACUCGGAACGGCCAAGUGAAACUGUCAUGCUAGAGUGCAGAAGGGGCAAUCGGAAUUCUUGGUGUAGCGGUGAAAUGCGUAGAUAUCAAGAGGAACACCUGAGGUGAAGACGGGUUGCUGGGCUGACACUGACGCUGAGGCGCGAAAGCCAGGGGAGCAAACGGG
rnacentral:rRNA from 1 species